AGAAGCUCUUUGUAAGGCAUUCCAAAACCCAAAUCAAUACAAAAUAUUUGUUUUCUCUCUUCUUCUAUUCCUCCUUCCCUUUCUUUCUCUAUUUCCCUCUCUAAUUUCUAUUCUUUUCCGUGAUUAAGAACCUGGAUACAUGACAGUCUCAUUUCUGACAGGGUGAAUUUUUUAGUUGAAUCCAUUUGUCACAAAAAAAUAAGAAAAAAAGCAUAACCACGGGGAAUUAAAUUGUACUUUCCCCUAAAAAACAUGUAGAUAAAGAAACUGCCAUGAAGGACAUUGAGAACUUCUGGCAUGUCUUUCAGCUUGAACAAAUACUCAUUACCAGAUGAUAAGAAUUACAAGAGAGGAGAAAAAUAAGGGGAGCAAAAUACAUACCCUGUUUUUCCUACUGAAUGAUGAGUCUCCAGAAAAGAACUUAAUAUUUGGGUGUGUACGCUGCAAAUCACGGUCAAUCUGAUCUGCAAUCUCUGUAUG
rnacentral:misc_RNA from 1 species